rnacentral:misc_RNA from 1 species
GAAAUUUAUAAGUAAUUAGAUAUUGGCCAAUAAUUCUAUUGGCCAUUUAUUCUCAUUAUGAACGUUCAUAACUCACGACUGAAAACAUAGUCUGAAUACAUAGGACAAGUACACUGAAAAAGCUUACAAUACAUAUAUAAUCAAAUCCAACAUGCAUUCUUGAGCGCAUCAUCAUGUUGCUCAGUUGGAAGCAAUUGGCGCAGAAUGUGGCACCUAAAUUCCAAGCAACUUAAUAAUUUUCUCGAGGGCUGCCAAAGGGUCUCCCAAACCAGAAGCACUUAUCUUGCUAUAAAUUCGAAAUGCCAAAGCCAAAACACCAACUAAUAAAUGAAGCUGGGUAUACAGAUUCUUGACAGCUGUGGGAAUAUAGGGAUUUAGAACAGUGACAGCUGCAUCAAUCUGCAAACAUGUGAAAAAACUUUCAAUUUUUCAUUCAACAUCCCAUAUGCUUAUUCAAAGAAAGACAAGAUUACAUAUAUAUUCAAUCAAAAUAGUUUGCAAUUAAGACCCCAUAUCAUCAAAUGAAUAAUAUUAAUCAUUUCAAUAUUGAAAUUGUUUGGAAUUUUGUUUUUCAAUGCACUGAGAGUAUCUAAUAAUCUUCCUAAAAAUAUUGUGUAUAAGCGCAACCAAUCUCAAAUGGAAAAAUGAAUGACAUGAAUAACUUAUUAAGCAUUGAAGAGAUGAUUUUUAUUUUGGUUUAAAUCCAAACUCAAUUAAAAUUUCACGCAAGAAUUAAUAACGAACAAAAACCUAUCAACUACGCAUUAAGGUCUUCCAAUCUCAACCUCUCCCUCAUGUAUACCAGAAACACAAAAGGUAAACAUAGAAGAGAAAGACUCACCUGGUUGUCUGCAAACUUGAGAACCUUAUUGAAAACAUCCUCAAACGUAGGAUAGAUAGGUGUAACCACGGUCUUAACCGUAGACUCAAUAGUCUGGAUAGCAGGCUUCAGUGGACCAGAAUUGUUCUUGACAUAAUCGUUGAGCUUUGAGAGGGAAAACACGGCAAAAAUUGCAGCCAGUUGCACAAAUUGCAAAUACUUCAGACUGUCUUCCUCCUUAUUACCCUAAAUAAUUCAAUUUCAGAGCAUGUUAAUUUGGAUAUUCAGUAAAUGAACCAAAUAUUUAAUUAUUUCACAAAAUCACCGCAUAAAAUUGAAUAUAAUAAGGAAUCAUAGUCAAUACAAGUAAGCGGUCGAUAGUUUUCUGUGCAAUAUCCCCUCCAAUGCCCAACACGCCUUCUGCAGCACUUGUUGCAGUUUUUGAGAGAUCAGCUACGGCUUCUUCAGCCAAACCCGCAAUUGGAGAUUUUGAGAGAGCACUAGUGGCUGCACUUGUGGCUUCUUCAGCUAUAUCUGUGACAGAUUUUAAGAUAUCACUUGCCAUAAUUGAAAAGUUCUUUUUUUGAGAAACGGAGGGUCAAAACUCAAAACGCAGUACUUGAAGUUUGAAAAAAGAGACCCGCCCCCAU